CCCAGGGGUCCCUCCCUCUUCCUUACUAGUGUGGGAUUGAUCUUGAAUGGGCCAAUCCUGUGCUGGGGAUAGACCACGCCCCCUACUUCCUGGCAUGGGAUUGGUCUUGGAUUGAACCAAUCCCAUGCUAGGGAGGGGGCACUCCCCCUACUUCCAGGAGGGGAUUGGUCUAUAUAAGGACCAAUCCCGUGCCUAGGAAAAAAGUUUGAAUCUAAGUAGAUUCAAGGUUGAUGGAGUUAGUUAAUUUCAGUCAGGUGAAACUCUGUUUUUUUUGUUACUUUAUUAAAGUUAAUAAUAUAAAAAGAGUUUUUCUUAUUUUAAUUAUUUCACAGCUCCACAGCUAAAAGAUAAAGAUCAAGCAUCUAAGCUUCCACUCUUGAAUCAUCAUCGUCAUCACAGCCACCACCACCAUCAUCAUUAUUAUCAUCAUAGCUUAUAUUUUUCCUGCUUUAAGAUACCCCAAGAUGAUUUAUUUUCUAUCAUCUUAUGAAUAUUGUUUUGUAUCCUGUGACAAAAUCCAGAAGAAAGAAAGAGAAGAAAAAUCUUCCUUCAACACUGCUUACAGAAUCACUCUUUGUUAUUACUUCAAAGAAACUCUUGGGUAUCUAACAUAAAUUUAAAAUCAAACUCUCCAGGACAUGUGACAAUUUAUUUUACUGUUGUAAAUUUAUGAAACAUAAUGUUUAGAUACAUAUUUUCUUCUUCUUUUCUUCCCUUGAGCAAUAUAAUGAUUUCACAAUACCUUGUCAGGUUAGAAGAUUAAAAGGCAAAGAAAAAAGUCUUGAAAGUGUGGGAGUGAUGCAAUCUACAACUCAGAAAAUGUACCUCCCCAGUCACACACCACCAGACAAGUAACUGUCAAUUCUUAAAAUGAGUAAGCUUAUAUGGUCUUGUUGCAUGAUAAGCAAUGAUCUAGUAAUGAAAACUAUGAAUGAAAGGCAUUGUUUUCUACUUCAAUGCAUCUGUACCCUGGGAUAACCAGAAAUAAUUAUUGAAACAAGCCACUUGUUAAUAAUAAUUACUCUCCCUUCUAUGAAAACAAGAACAAACAGCAAUUAUCUAUAAUUUCUUAUUUGCAAAACACUCUCAUUAUACCAAGACUCCUUGUCUAUGUUUGAUAGUAUUAUUUGGCUCUUGGUAAAAUUCCACAAAUUUUUGUUUUGAUUCUAGGGCCUUUUCAGGUUUCAUAUAUUCUAUGCAUGGCAAACCUGUGUGUUUCUUGCUGUAAGACAAGGAAGCUUCUGCUUGCCACUUUAGUCAGGCAAAAAAAAAAAUCAUCCGUUUUUGGAGUCUUUAAAAAAGUGGAUGCUUUAUUGGCAUAAAUGAAUGACAUAAACUCAAUUCCCCACUGUUUUAUCAAUAAGAAACAUUUUAAGGACAAAGAUUGGAUUUUGACAGUCAGCAGCCAACUUAAGAAAGCAUCAGAAAAAUCUUGGUGAAGAAAAAGAAUAUUUUGAACUAUCAUCCCAACUCAAAUCACUCUUUUAAAUUAUAUUCCCUUAAUAUUUGUCUUUUGUCUGUUUUGUCUGUUUUAAUUUACUUUGAUUUAUAAAUUUGUUUCAUUUGUGUUGAAUUUAUAGCAAUUCAACUUAACCUCCUCCAUGUCAAGGAUCA
ensembl:lncRNA